UACGAAGGGGGCUAGCGUUGCUCGGAAUCACUGGGCGUAAAGCGCACGUAGGCGGCUUUUUAAGUCAGGGGUGAAAUCCUGGAGCUCAACUCCAGAACUGCCUUUGAUACUGAGAAGCUUGAGUCCGGGAGAGGUGAGUGGAGCUGCGAGUGUAGAGGUGAAAUUCGUAGAUAUUCGCAAGAACACCAGUGGCGAAGGCGGCUCACUGGCCCGAUACUGACGCUGAGGCACGAAAGCGUGGGGAGCAAACAGG
rnacentral:rRNA from 1 species